UUAAAUACAGCUUUGGUGAGGAAGUGCAGAGGAACUUCCACUUGUUUUUCCAUUAACAUUUAGGGCAUUUAUCACAGGGUUAAACCAGUUUAUUUCUCUUACUUUGCUGUCAAGAAAUUCUGGAAACUACGGAGCUUCCAUAGAGCAGAAAGUCCUGCCAGCAUAGUAAUUCAAGAGUUCACUACUUGCACAAGUGUUGUCAUUUACACAAGCAGGUACAACCGGAUUUCAGUUCCACAAAAUGGCAAGGUCCAAUGUUACUAUGCUGAUGGGACUUUCUGCUCAGCAGAGGCUCAGCAGAUUAGGUAGUUUUUUGUGUGUCAAAAGAUUAGAACUCUCCUUUAUGAUAUCAUCUGAGAAUUACAUUGCCCAGCAUCCUUUGGAGGAAGGGAUAACAAUUCCUAAGGGGCUUCGCUUUUAUAGUGUUGAUGUGCUCUUAGUUACUGAGAAUCAGUGUGUGAAAAAAACGAAAGUGGCAAGCUGAUCUGACAGAGCUGGUAUUUCUAAAAUAAGAGUAACUGUACUAACAUUGUUUUACUCAUAUCAUUGUGGAUUAGAUUCAUUAUUGAAGGAAAUAAAAUUGAGGUUAGAAGAAUCUUGUGCACGUACUGUAGGCCUAUGACAUAUACUGUCCAUAAUGGUAGCCAAAAUAUAGAAGAACCUGUUUCUUUUUAUUCUUAAACUUAUGCCUAAUGCGUUGUAUCAAAUGCUAGGCUACCAUUGUUGUUUUGUCUGCAGUUGUGCAGGUGACAGUAGAACAGUUAUGCCUAGUCAAAUGAGGCCACCAUGGUUUGAAUAGCUUGUGAAACUGCUUUUGGAACAAUUAACAACAGCUUGUGAAACAGAAGUUAAUGUAUCACCCUGUGGGGUAGCUUGUCUAAGGGCUUGCACAAGGAGAAUCAAAGUGUUAGGUUUAAUAUUUGCACAGGAAUGGCCUAUGUUGUUUGUACAAGUAGCUGCAGUGUUACACUAGUGAAUGACACAACAGUCCAGUGAACAUUUCAUUUUCUCCCAAGUUUAGACUGCACAAGCGUUCUUUGGUGCAAGUAUGCUGAGCUGCUUGAAUUGAGAAAUGUGGGGUCCCAUCUCCCUAUUCUGCUGUUUUCUUAUCUUUUUCUAAAUAUGCAGCUGUACAUUGCAUUAUGCAGCUCUAUGUGCUUUUUUUCAAGAAGGUUGACUAAUUAUCUUGUUUUUCAAGCAGCGCAUAAGCUGCUUCUGACCAAGGCAAAGGCAAAGGACGCCACCCAAAACAGUGUGGCAAUCUAGCUCCCUCCAUAAGUCUUCCCUAACAUAGAAUGCAGAAACGCUUAGAAUCGUUCAUGGUGGGGUUUCUUUAUUUCAAAAAAGUCUUCACUCUUAAGAAAUAUUUGGCAAAGGGCAUAAUUUGAGUUUCCACAUAAUUUCAAAAUGUAUUGGUUUAUCAGUCUGAGGAAGCCCUUAGGGGUUGUCUGCAGAUCACUUUUUGCCGGUUCUGUAUAUUUUUUUAAUUAUUUGCUCUUUGAUGUUAUGCCUGAUAGGAUAGAUCAACAUCUGCCAGCUCAGACAGAGCCUGUACGGUAGAGCAGACUUUGACUACUUGGAGGAGGGGGGGGGAUCACUCUAAGCAACCCCUCAGCUCUUGUCCAAAACAGUCACUUUUUUGACACUCUGCCAUAGAGGCUAUGUUUCUAAACAGUAAAUGGUACAAAGGUAUGAAGACAUCUAUGUAUGCCAGUUGCAAAACUGAAGUCACUUUUUUAACCCAUAAGUUUCUGUCAGUAGAAGAACGGGAAGCCCGUGAGCUCUUGUUCUUUCUGACAGAUGCCUCUUGAUCUAGACAAGAUCUUCUCUUGGCCAAUAAACUAUUAAAGUUAUACUUCCCUUUUGUAUUGUAUAAUAGGUGGUUGGGUAUAGCCAUCUUUACCUGAAAGCAUAUGAUGUCAGGCAUUAGUGUACUGUCUUAUUACUCCUGUUAACGUACAAUAAAGUUUAUAAAAUGA